CCUACGGGAUGCAGCAGUGAGGCAUAUUGGUCAAUGGGCGGAAGCCUGAACCAGCCCAGUAGCGUGCAGGAUGACGGCCCUACGGGUUGUAAACUGCUUUUAUACGGGAAUAACGAGCCUUACGUGUAGGGCUUUGCAUGUACCGUAUGAAUAAGGACCGGCUAAUUCCGUGCCAGGAGCCGCGGUAAUACGGAAGGACCGGGCGUUAUCCGGAUUUAUUGGGUUUAAAGGGAGCGUAGGCCGCAUGUCAAGCGUGCUGUGAAAUGUCCGGGCUCAACCCGGGCCGUGCAGCGCGAACUGGCGUGCUUGAGUCCGCGGAAAGCAGGCGGAAUUCGUCGUGUAGCGGUGAAAUGCUUAGAUAUGACGAAGAACCCCGAUUGCGAAGGCAGCUUGCUGCAGCGGAACUGACGCUGAUGCUCGAAAGCGCGGGUAUCGAACAGGAUUAGAUACCCCAGUAGUC
rnacentral:rRNA from 1 species